CAAACCGAGUUUGACAGUUCGUCGUGAAUUAAAAUGUCGCUAAGUGUCCGGGAAAAAUCUUUCGGUGGAAUCGGUCGGAAAAGUGGUGAAAACGGUCGGAAAAGUGUUGAACAAGAGCGGAAAAUGUGCUAUGGUGCUGUGCCGAAACAGGAGGAAUGCGGAAAAGAUUGUUCCCUAGUGGCGUUUUGUUGCAAAAAGCAUGUUUUGCUUCGAUGUUUUUGUUCGAAGCUGCUCGUGAACAGCGACGCGGUCGCGAAUAUUGCUGGGGAUUCUUUUCAACAAAAGUCUAGGGUUAUAUCUAAUAACCACCAAGGAGCAAGGAACGGAACGAGUGGAAGGAACCUUAGGAUAUUUUUGCUCCGUCGUAUGCCGUUCCGAGAUAAUACGAAAGGAAUGUGGAAUGUGGAUCUAUGGAAUCUCUCGGAUGGAAACCAAAACAACAGUGGAAUUGACUUGAGCAAAAUCUUAUCGGAACAGGAGGGAACAGGAGGAGAUCGAUGUUAUGUCGCGGAAAGGGAGGAUGCUCGACUACCCUUGACGAGACGAUGUCUGAAAGCGGAAUAAAUUCAAAAUUUCGAGUGCAUCUAAACAAAACAUCAAAUGAAAAAGGGUGAUGAUAGUAAAACUUAACCUAUGGAUUGCGAGAAUUUCUGCGAAAAAACUAAAUUAAUGAAGGAAAAAAAAUCAAGGAAAAACCCCGUCAGCCGUACGAGUUCCCGUUUUAAGUAUAAUGGUUUAUGCGCCACUCCCGAGGGGAGACCAUUUACCAAGGUUGAGUGUGCCCGACUACGAGACCUUUCAGGAGAAGGUUCCUAUUUUCCCAAACUUCUGGGCGGGAAACAAGAUGGCUGACUACUACUGUUCAAAUAGGACAAGAGGAUAGCGAAAAAAAAAUAUAAUUGACCAAAAAGUGUUCCAAUCGUCGACCG